GCGGGUGUAGUUCAAUGGUAGAACGCAACUUUUCCAAAGUUGUCACGAGGGUUCGAUUCCCUUCACCCGCUCCA
rnacentral:tRNA from 1 species